UACAGAGGGUGCAAGCGUUGUUCGGAAUUACUGGGCGUAAAGCGCGUGUAGGCGGUCUGAUAAGUCAGAUGUGAAAUCCCUCAGCUUAACUGAGGAACUGCAUCUGAUACUGUUAGACUUGAGUAUCGGAGGGGAUGGCGGAAUUCCUGGUGUAGAGGUGAAAUUCGUAGAUAUCAGGAGGAACACCUGUGGCGAAGGCGGCCAUCUGGAAGAUUACUGACGCUGAGACGCGAAAGCGUGGGGAGCAAACAGG
rnacentral:rRNA from 1 species